rnacentral:rRNA from 1 species
GACGAACGCUGGCGGCGUGCUUAACACAUGCAAGUCGAACGGAAAGGCCCUGCUUGCAGGGUACUCGAGUGGCGAACGGGUGAGUAACACGUGGGUGAUCUGCCCUGCACUUCGGGAUAAGCCUGGGAAACUGGGUCUAAUACCGGAUAGGAGCCAUCCUUAUUGUGAGGGUUGGAUAGUUUUUUCGGUGUAGGAUGAGCUCGCGGCCUAUCUGCUUGGUGGUGGGGUAAUGGCCUACCAAGGCGGCGACGGGUAGGCGGCCUGGGAGGGUGGACGGCCACAUUGGGACUGGGAUACGGGCCAGACUCCUACGGGAGGCAGGCGUGGGGAAUAAUGCACAAUGGGGGGAAGGCUGAUGCAGCGAAGCCGCGUGGGGGGUGACGGCCUUCGGGUUGUAAACUCCUUUCGCCAGGGAAGAAGGUGUUUGUGACGGUAACUAGAUAAGAAGCACCGGCUAACUACGUG